UUGACCCCAAGGCCAAUAUUUUGCUUCUCUUAGGAAGGGAUAUAAUUCAGGUGCACAAGGUUCACGAACAACGAAAUGGGCCUCUCUUAGCUCCCUUUGCACAACGGUUAGAAAGGAGAGUUUGAUGACGACAAUCUCUAUGGCAAGCAGUGGAGGCAAGUCCAAGGUCUGGCCAACACCUUUUGGCAUCGUUGGAGGACAGAGUACCUACCCUCUCUGAAAAAUGGAGAAAAUGGCAAAAGGAAAUACAUAAUUUUCAAGCUGGAGACAUUGUAAUACUCAAAGACAAGCAGGUAAAACGAAACUAUUGGCCCCUUGGUAUUGUGGUCAAGACAUUCCCCAGCGCAGAUGGCAAGGUGAGAAAGGUGGAAAUCAAGACAGCAAACAAUGGUUCAUUCAAGACCUUUCUACGCCCUGUCUCAGAGAUUGUUCUACUCCUUUCCCCAGAGACAUUGUAGUUGUUUUGUGUUAGAGUGCAUUGUACAGUUGUGGUGGCAUCCUUUUAGAUACCAGGCGGGGAGUGUUCUGGCCUAAGCAAGGAGCUGUAGGUCACCUUGCAGCCACUAGGGGGUGCUACAUUUGUUGUUGUGUUUUUGGACCUCAUGGCUCACUGUAGGAGGCCAUUUUGGGUUUCUCAUUCAUUGAUAAGAGCAUGUUGUGGACACUUGCCUUAUGAAGGAUCUAAAUCCAUCCUGGACUAAGAAGGAACUGUAUAAUCAUUGUCUUUUUACUCCAUUUUGCAUUCUGUCAAUGAAUAACGGUGGCACGCAAAUAAAUCAACAUUUAUUGACUA